CUGUGAGACAGGUGCUGCAUGGCUGUCGUCAGCUCGUGUUGUGAAAUGUUGGGUUAAGUCCCGCAACGAGCGCAACCCUUAUCCUUUGUUGCCAGCGGUCCGGCCGGGAACUCAAAGGAGACUGCCAGUGAUAAACUGGAGGAAGGUGGGGAUGACGUCAAGUCAUCAUGGCCCUUACGACCAGGGCUACACACGUGCUACAAUGGCGCAUACAAAGAGAAGCGACCUCGCGAGAGCAAGCGGACCUCAUAAAGUGCGUCGUAGUCCGGAUUGGAGUCUGCAACUCGACUCCAUGAAGUCGGAAUCGCUAGUAAUCGUGGAUCAGAAUGCCACGGUGAAUACGUUCCCGGGCCUUGUACACACCGCCCGUCACACCAUGGGAGUGGGUUGCAAAAGAAGUAGGUAGCUUAACCUUCGGGAGGGCGCUUACCACUUUGUGAUCCAUGACUGGGGUGAAGUCGUAACAAGGUAACCGUAGGGGAACCUGCGGCUGGAUCACCUC
rnacentral:rRNA from 1 species